GGGGAAUAUUGGACAAUGGGCGAAAGCCUGAUCCAGCCAUGCCGCGUGUGUGAAGAAGGUCUUCGGAUUGUAAAGCACUUUAAGUUGGGAGGAAGGGCUGCAAGUUAAUACCUUGUAGUUUUGACGUUACCAGCAGAAUAAGCACCGGCUAACUUCGUGCCAGCAGCCGCGGUAAUACGUAGGUGGCAAGCGUUGUCCGGAAUUAUUGGGCGUAAAGCGCGCGCAGGUGGUUUCUUAAGUCUGAUGUGAAAGCCCACGGCUUAACCGUGGAGGGUCAUUGGAAACUGGGAGACUUGAGUGCAGAAGAGGAAAGUGGAAUUCCAAGUGUAGCGGUGAAAUGCGUAGAGAUUUGGAGGAACACCAGUGGCGAAGGCGACUUUCUGGUCUGCAACUGACGCUGAGGCGCGAAAGCAUGGGGAGCAAACA
rnacentral:rRNA from 1 species